rnacentral:rRNA from 1 species
CCUACGGGAGGCAGCAGUGGGGAAUUUUGGACAAUGGGCGAAAGCCUGAUCCAGCCAUUCCGCGUGAGUGAAGAAGGCCUUCGGGUUGUAAAGCUCUUUCGCAAGGGAAGAAAACUUAGAUACUAAUAUUAUCUGAGGUUGACGGUACCUUGAUAAGAAGCACCGGCUAACUACGUGCCAGCAGCCGCGGUAAUACGUAGGGUGCGAGCGUUAAUCGGAAUUACUGGGCGUAAAGCGUGCGCAGGGCGGUUUUGUAAGUCAGAUGUGAAAUCCCCGAGCUCAACUUGGGAACUGCGUUUGAAACUACAAGACUAGAAUAUGUCAGAGGGGGGUAGAAUUCCACGUGUAGCAGUGAAAUGCGUAGAGAUGUGGAGGAAUACCAAUGGCGAAGGCAGCCCCCUGGGAUAAUAUUGACGCUCAUGCACGAAAGCGUGGGGAGCAAACAGGAUUAGAUACCCUGGUAGUCCACGCCCUAAACGAUGUCUACUAGUUGUUGGUGGAGUAAAAUCCAUGAGUAACGCAGCUAACGCGUGAAGUGACCGCCGNGGAGGUACGGUACGGUCGAGAAGUUAAACGUUAAAGUUAAGUUAAGUUAGUACGGACGUUGAGACGUUAGCGACGGACGACGACGAGGGAGGAGG